rnacentral:lncRNA from 1 species
CAGAGAGAGGGGAGCUGGAACAUGUUAGGGCCCCCGAAAGCCAAGAUACCCCAGAGCCCAGGAAUCUGAGAAGAGUCCACGUUGAGGGCAGCGUUCGCCUGCGUUCUCUGCCAAGGGGCUGUGGAUUUCGGGACUGAGCACCGUGUCCCGGGACCUCAUCCCCAGGAGGCAGGGCCAUGGGACAGCCCCCAGCGCCAGCCGUGUGGAAUGUGCCACUCUUGGAACUGAGGCUCUCGGUUUUUAAAAUUGGCUUGUAAAUCUCCGUGUAGUUUUCAGGCUUUAGGAAUUUUAUUUUAUCUGGAUUAAAGUCAUGUUCUGCUUUGGCAUAGGAAGGCGUUUAUGACUGUUAAAACAAGAAAUGAAAAAUAUAGGCCUGCAAUCAGCCGGGCUGCCUCCUGCCAGAGUCUAGGGAUUUGUCUUGGGGGCCAGGCUGAAGGUUUGCUGCCCUUCUCCCCGCACUGCUCUGUGUUUCUCCAGAAAGCUGGAGCUGGCUGCCUGGGAGCGGCUGUCGCGAUGGCUGGGAGGGCCUCAGGAACGAAGCCUUUGUCUUUGCUCAGGUGUGUUCUCACAAUGGGGAGCCACGGCCCUCCCCAAGGACCAGCGAGCAAUGGGCGCAUCUCAUUCGCUGCCUGCAUUUGCCCCCGCCCAUCCAAGAGAGCAGAAUCAGAGAGGGUAGCAGCUUGUGUUUGGUUCUCGACCAUCACCUCUCUGAGGACGUGCAAACACCUGGAAAACAAAUGUGAAAACUUCACCGACUCAUCGGAAGGCUCUGUCAAUGUCGCAUGAAGCCAGAUGUCCAAGAACCAAGAGCCAGCUCUAGGCAGACAAAAGAGUAGUAAUAAUAAUAAGGAUAAUGAUGAUAAUAAUGAAAAACAGUUACCACUUAUUAAGACACUUGCUUUCUGCCAGACCCAAUGUUAAGUGCUUUUGUGUAUUGAUCGUCUCACACAAUCCUACAAUCCAUUCUCUCCAUGGCAGCAAAGUGGCCUUUUUAAGACAGAAACUCUAAAUCAGAUCAGGCUAGUCUGUGGCUAAAAACCCUUAAGUGGCUUCCCAUUAUACUUAGAAUGACAUCAAAGUUUCUUGCCGCCGGCCUGCAAGGCUAGGUCCCUGCCUACCUAUCCCUAUCUGCUCCCACUCUCCACCUACUCACUAAACUCCAAACACAUAAGCCCCUCUCUGGUGCCAAGUGCCAAGCUUUUGCCUGCCCCGGGACCUUUGCACUUGCUGUUCCCCCAAUAAGCAACUCAACUCCCCACCCUAAUCCUCCAUUGGAAUGAAUGUGCUAGAGAGAAAUGACCUCGUCUCUUUGAUCACUGUUGUAUCUCCAGCCCCUAGGACAGUUGGCACUCAACAAAAAUUUGUCAUACGAUUGAAAGAAUUUCAACCCUAUGUACUAGGCAUUAUUAUCUUCAUGUAACAGAUGAAGAAACUGAAAGUCAGCCUAGUUCAUUUGCUCAAAGCCAUACGACUUGUGAGUUUCGACUACACGGCUGGAGGACUCUGUCUGUUUUCUCCUUGUCAGCUAGCUGUGCUGAGGCUGCACAGCCACCUUGGGGGGAGGAGCAGCCUUCGAGAUGCAGUUUUCAUCUCUUCACUCUGCAAACAGCCCUGCUUUGCCUCACUUAGUCCUUUAUGGCCAGGAUCUGUCUACACAAUAAGAAACCCUAGCCUGCAAAACGACCCCGUCUUCCUCUGGCUUUUACUUUAUGUUUUUCUUUGAUCAUAAAAAUGAGUAUUUAGAAAGACUGGAAAGUAUAGGAAAAGAUAUAUAUAUAUAAAGAAGCUGGGGAAAAACCACUCACGACCUCACUACCCAGAGGCAACUUGGUUAACGCUUUGGUUUCUUUACUGCCGCUCUUUUCUAUCGUCUUUAAUACAGAGUUGAUAUCGUCUCUGUAUGUAAUUUUGUGUCCUGCUUUUAUCCCUUAAUGCUAUAUCUUAAGAGUGUUCUCUGAAAAGUUUUUCAUAAGCGUUAAAGCUAAUGCUAGCAUAAUAUUGCUUCGCUUGGGUUCAUCCAGUUUGCUCAACCAAAUUUCUUUUGUUUGAAGGAAUUCCCUUUUCUCACUUGCAGUCAGCAAGCCAAAAAUAGGACUUAAAUGUAAGGAGACACACGUGCAAUUAUGACUCAAAUAUACAGAGAUGCACGGACAAUUAUGUUUCCCUAUUGAGAUCAGAAAAAGGCAUGGCUGUAUUCCAUCAGAAUAAUUAUUGCUAUUAUUCGAUCAUUUCCUGGGAUCUCAUAGUAUAUGAAAGUUGUGGGUAUUCCAAAGAAACUCUCAAAUAAUACCUAAAUGUCCUUACUGGAAGCACAGGUUUUAGGUCUCUGCUGAUUCUCAGCAAAAUCCCCUUGGUUGACAUGUCACCUACACCUUUUUGGCCACCACCCCUUCCCAGGACGCAGCUGCUGCCACCGCAACCAGGGGACAGGAUAGAAAAGGGCCGGCAAUCUGGAGGCCAGAAACAAAGGUUCAAGGUCCAGCUUCUAGGCUUAACUACAUGCCCUUGGACGUGUCACGUCUCCUCUUUCCCAUAAAAUGAGGAUGAUAGUCCUCGCCUCAGAGAACUGUGAAGGCCAAAGGAGGGCUCGCACAGGGAGGGUGUGUCGUAAACUGAAAAGUGCUAUAAAGUUGUUUGGAAUUCUUACGAUCCGAAGAGUUAUGACCCCAGUGGCUAUUUAAAAAGACUUAAAGGUCAGCAGAGCCAAUGUUUUCCAGCCCAAAUCUUCAAAAGGCUGGCUCUUGUUAGAAGACGAUGUGUAUAAACUGGAUUAGUGGGUCCUCUGCUUGUGAUAAAUUCACAGGGAUGUGAAAGAGCGUGGGUAGCAGGCUCUGCUGUUACCUACCAGCGUCCAUGCCCUACCCUCCUGGUCCUAGGAGGGGACCUGUUUGGGGUCAGGCAUUCAGCCAGUCCAGGUUUAGCAUGUGACUCAGCUCAAACUGACUCCACCCCCAGCUCCAGGGAUGGGCCUGAUUGGUCAAAAGAUAAUCCCUCCCCUUGCCAGUGAUUGGUUCAUUCAGCCACAGGGCACGUGAUCCCACUCCCACCGUGAGACACGUGGGGACGGGGAGACACGUGGGGACGUGGGAGACAGGUGGGGCAAGGUCUCCUUGCUCGUGGUGAAGUAUCACCGGGAAAGAGAGCCUUUCUUCUUCCCACCUUGAACUGUGCAGCCAUCUUCCUACCAGACCAGAGGGUGAAGGCAACACGGAGAGAGGAAGAGCCGAGAGAGCGUGAUGGUGGAUGAUGAUAACCAUAACAGCAGCAAACAUUUAUUGAGCAUUUAGAGCUUACCAAGUGCUGUUCUAAACGUAUUAUCUGUUCUGGGGGUGGGGAGGUGGCCCCAUCGAUGUUGGUGGCCCGUGGACUAAGAAUGGUUUUUACAUUUUUUAAUGGUUGUAUAAAAAUCAAAAGAACGGUAUUUCAUGACAUACGGAAAUUAUAUGGAAUUCCACGUUCGGUGUCCAUAAAUAAAAUUUUAUUGGAAC